rnacentral:lncRNA from 1 species
AGGGAGGCCUACAUUCACUCUCAACAUGAAAUUAGUAGCAAGUUUGCCUCUUUAAACACAUGUUUCAACUUUACCUCCCAAUUUCUUGAGAACGGGGUUUGGAUUCUUCGUGCUAAAGUUGGAAGCCCUACAUCCUCUCAUCUCUCAUUAAUCAACUUUGUUGGAACUUACAAUUGAUAAUUAUUAAGAAAAACAUAGUGUUUGAAUGAAAGUGGUAGAUGCAGUGCCCACAGAAGGUGGCAUUGCAAAGAACAACAAAAUAAGUAUACAAGUUGUUUACACAAUUCAUUUCCCUUGCAUCUGUGGAACUAGCUUAGUGUGGAUAAUCCAAUAUCUUUAAUCUCAAUACACAAGUGAUUUAAGUCUUGUCACACCUCGAUAUUGCAACAUAACUUUUGUACCUAAAGAUCUAAAUCACUCAUUUCUAAGUUCUCAAAGGGGAGAACUUAGGUUGUAAACCAAAAAAUAAACUUGUUUACACUCUCAAAUACACUCGCAAGUAACAGGUUCCUCAAUGAACAGAUAAGUGAUCAAACUUUCGAUAAAAUCACCUAUAGAAGUCUCUCCAAUAUAUAAACUUUCAAUACUUGCUAACAUACUAGAUCAAUUACAAUCGAUUCCUCUAUAAAGUGGCAUCUAAAAUAGCAUAAUAAUAAAGGCCAUGAUAAAGUAGGACCAAUUGAGAUAAAUCUUCAAUGCAAUCCUGAUCCAAUCUCCAUAUUUCAAAGGAACAAUUACAUUUUUUUAUUGGGCUGACUUACAAUGGACCUCGCCCCUCUAGCGAACUCAUUCUUGUUCCAUCCUAUCGGUAUUCAUGAAGUCUGCUUCAUGCAGAACCUUCCAUGGCUAUUCCUUCUUCUAGCUAUCGAAGAAGAUGAAGAACGGAAAAAAAA